rnacentral:rRNA from 1 species
UACGGGGGGGGCAAGCGUUGUUCGGAAUUACUGGGCGUAAAGGGCUCGUAGGCGGCCAACUAAGUCAGACGUGAAAUCCCUCGGCUUAACCGGGGAACUGCGUCUGAUACUGGAUGGCUUGAGGUUGGGAGAGGGAUGCGGAAUUCCAGGUGUAGCGGUGAAAUGCGUAGAUAUCGUAAGGAAGACCAGUGGCGAAGGCGGGUCUCUGGACAGUUCCUGACGCUGAGGCACGAAGGCCAGGGGAGGCAAACGGG